GGAUUGUGGCUCAGAGGUAGAGUGCUCACCUGGAAUGCGUGAGGCACUGGGUUCGAUCCUCAGCACCA
rnacentral:tRNA from 1 species